rnacentral:rRNA from 1 species
CUGCAGCUCAAGUGGUGACCGCUAUUAUUGGGCCUAAAACGUUCGUAGCCGGCUGAGUAAAUGCUUGGGUAAAUCGUGCCGCUUAACGGUACGAAUUCCGGGUAGACUACUCAGCUUGAGACCGGGAGAAGCUAGAGGUACUCCUGGGGUAGAGGUGAAAUUCUGUAGUCCUGGGGGGACCACCAGUGGCGAAGGCGUCUAGCUAGAACGGGUCUGACGGUGAGGGACGAACCCCUGGGACGCGAACCGGAUUAGAUACCCGAGUAGUCC